CUAGGGCUAUAGUUCUGUCCAGGGGAGUUGCCAGAGCAGAAACGAUGCCAGUCCCGUGAUUUCCCUGGAGGCUGAAAUGAGCGCUCAUGUCCAGAUGUUGUCCAGGUGUCUGAAUGCCUCCAUUGGGGUACCUCCGUUUCCAAUAGUCUAUAUUCCUCAAUUCCUGGACUGAGGUGUUAACAGUCUUCGUUGAAUGAAUUUCCACGAACGUCUUUUUUUGAUGAUCAUUGUGUGGAGAUAUCUUCAUUGAAACUGUGAGAAGCUCUGCCCAUGAUAAAGGACACAGCAGAACUUGAUCAUGGGAACACAAGUGAAGGAUACAGUGGGGACUUGCCACGCAGCCAUGUUCCCAUUGUGCCUGCAGCUGAUUCUUCCUUGCCUCCAGUUCAGUGUGUCUUUUUCAGCUUCCUAAGAUGGGAAUGAUAUAUACACAGUCAAGAUCAAGGUACAAAAAUUCUGCCUUUUUACAUCCCAGCUCUCUCGAAGGCCUAUGCAAAUAUGCCUUGCCCCACCUCUCCCAUAAAUGCACAAACUGACAACAUCAGAGAAAUGAAGCGAACACCACAUUUAAGUUACAGAAAAUUCUACCUCUGUCCUGCCACAUCUCUGCUUUCAGGGCUGUCUUUCUAGUCAUCUGCUUCUACUCUUUCAUCAUAAAGUCAUCAAAUAACAUUGCA